GGUCACGCUUAUCACCUGUAACCAGUUUGCUUGGAUGCGUUGUCACUUGUCACGAUUCACGGUCGCUGUGCAACGCUGAAAUGUGCGGUCUUCGAGGUUCUCAAAAAGUGGCUCCUGGCCUAUCUGACAUGGAAGCAGCUGUGUACAAUGGGCGAGAAACCUGCUACGUGACACGCCUUGCGAAGAAGCAGCCCCGAGCGUUACAUGUGUUAUGAGACUGCCAUGCAACGACAGGUUGACUACCCUUGAGUGUCCACUAUGCAAGCACAUUGAGACAUCUGAACGUCCGCUACAACAGGUCAU